AACGUAGGUUCCGAGCGUUAUCCGGAUUUACUGGGCGUAAAGCGCGUUCAGGCGGUUUGGCAAGUCGGGCAUGAAAUCUCUCGGCUCAACCGGGAGAGGUUGUCCGAUACUUCCAGACUUGAGGGCAGUAGAGGGUGGUGGAAUUCCGGGUGUAGUGGUGAAAUGCGUAGAUAUCCGGAGGAACACCAGUGGCGAAGGCGGCUUCCUGGCCUGUUCUUGACGCUGAGGCGCGAAAGCUAGGGGAGCAAACAGGG
rnacentral:rRNA from 1 species